GUGCCUAUAGUCUAGUGGCCAAGGUGCAUGACUGGGACCCCUGAGGUUGGUGGUUCAAGACCCAGCCCUGCCACA